rnacentral:rRNA from 1 species
AUUUUUUUAGGGUCCUCUUGUGCUCUUAUAUGUACGUCGAACGAUGAACCGCUUUCGGGCGGGGAUUAGUGGCGAACGGGUGAGUAACACGUGGGCAAUCUGCCCUGCACUCUGGGACAAGCCCUGGAAACGGGGUCUAAUACCGGAUAUGACUGUCCAUCGCAUGGUGGAUGGUGUAAAGCUCCGGCGGUGCAGGAUGAGCCCGCGGCCUAUCAGCUUGUUGGUGAGGUAGUGGCUCACCAAGGCGACGACGGGUAGCCGGCCUGAGAGGGCGACCGGCCACACUGCGGACUGAGACACGGCCCAGACUCCUACGGGAGGCAGCAGUGGGGAAUAUUGCACAAUGGGCGAAAGCCUGAUGCAGCGACGCCGCGUGAGGGAUGACGGCCUUCGGGUUGUAAACCUCUUUCAGCAGGGAAGAAGCGAAAGUGACGGUACCUGCAAAAGAAGCGCCGGCUAACUACGUGGCCAGCAGGUAGCCGCAGGGGUAAUACGUAGGGCGCAAGCGUUGUCCGGAAUUAUUGGGCGUAAAGAGCUCGUAGGCGGCUUGUCACGUCGGUUGUGAAAGCCCGGGCUUUAACCCCGGGUCUGCUGUCGAUACGGACAGGGUAAAGUUCGGUAGGGGAGAUCGGAAUUCCUGGUGUAUUGGUGAUUUGCUUAUAUAUCUUGAUGAUUUUCGGUGUUUAAUGUUUUUUCUCUUUUUCUUUUUUCUGAUUCUGAUUUUCUGCGUGGGGAGCGAACAGGAUUAGAUACCCUGGUAGUCCACGCCGUAAACGGUGGGCACUAGGUGUGGGCAACAUUCCACGUUGUCCGUGCCGCAGCUAACGCAUUAAGUGCCCCGCCUGGGGAGUACGGCCGCAAGGCUAAAACUCAAAGGAAUUGACGGGGGCCCGCACAAGCGGCGGAGCAUGUGGCUUAAUUCGACGCAACGCGAAGAACCUUACCAAGGCUUGACAUACACCGGAAACGUCUGGAGACAGGCGCCCCCUUGUGGUCGGUGUACAGGUGGUGCAUGGCUGUCGUCAGCUCGUGUCGU